CAAUAGCGUAUAUUAAAGUUGUUGCAGUUAAAAAGCUCGUAGUUGGAUUUCUGGUUGAAGCGACCGGUCGGGCGUUGAUUCGUCUGCACUGGAGUCGGUUUUGGCCAUCCUCUAGGAAAGUGCGUCUGGUAUUAAGUUAUCGGGCGUAUGAUCCUGGUCUUUUACUGUGAAAAAAUUAGAGUGUUUAAAGCAGGCCUUCGCCUUGAAUACAUUAGCAUGGAAUAAUAAGAUAGGACUUUGGUCUAUUUUGUUGGUUUGCAGACCGAAGUAAUGAUUAAUAGGGAUAGUUGGGGGUAUUUAUAUUCCGAUGUCAGAGGUGAAAUUCUUAGAUUUGCUGAAGAUGAACAACUGCGAAAGCAUUUACCAAGGAUGUUUUCAUUA
rnacentral:rRNA from 1 species